rnacentral:rRNA from 1 species
GAUGAACGCUGGCGGCGUGCCUAAUACAUGCAAGUCGAGCGAACAGACGAGGAGCUUGCUCCUCUGACGUUAGCGGCGGACGGGUGAGUAACACGUGGAUAACCUACCUAUAAGACUGGGAUAACUUCGGGAAACCGGCGCUAAUCCCGGAUAAUAUAUUGAACCGCAUGGUUCAAUAGUGAAAGACGGUUUUGCUGUCACUUAUAGAUGGAUCCGCGCCGCAUUAGCUAGUUGGUAAGGUAACGGCUUACCAAGGCGACGAUGCGUAGCCGACCUGAGAGGGUGAUCGGCCACACUGGAACUGAGACACGGUCCAGACUCCUACGGGAGGCAGCAGUAGGGAAUCUUCCGCAAUGGGCGAAAGCCUGACGGAGCAACGCCGCGUGAGUGAUGAAGGUCUUCGGAUCGUAAAACUCUGUUAUUAGGGAAGAACAAAUGUGUAAGUAACUAUGCACGUCUUGACGGUACCUAAUCAGAAAGCCACGGCUAACUACGUG